CAGUAGAAGAAGAAGAAGAAGAAGUGCGCCCGCAAAAGUGUCCACUUUUCCGGCUUGUUUGGACUGACGACCAAGUGGAAUAACUUUUACAAGUGAUUUUGGAGUAUAAGACCAAACUACUAUAAGGCAGAGGAUCGUGAACGUCGAAUUAUUUUUGGCUUUUUGACAGCAGUACGCAAGCGGUCACUUCUGGUCACAUGGGUGUGACGUCAUCAUGCUAGGUUCGAUCACAUGUAGAAUUGGACACGACACCCCCACGGUUGAUGACAGCAGCGGCCGAGUGAGGCUGGGACAGCAAGGUAGGUUGAACUACACUCCACGUGCUUCCACUUCCACAUGACGUGUAUUCAUUCAUAAAGGCGCCGCCAUGGCUCACAGUCCGAUUGGCUUCCCCUGUAUCAGAAAUAGUAUCACGUUGUAACCUCGCGAGAUUCUCUUGCAGCGACUCGGAAAUCAGGAAUCGUUAUUUAAUUCCCAUAGUCAGCAUUUGCGCACCCCUUAAUGCACAACUGUAGCAGUGUGACAUCAAUCUGUGACUAUUGGAUCAAGUUAUUCGGCUUUGAAACCAAAAUGCUAACAUCAGGUCCUAGCCAGUGUUUCUUCAAAGGAAGUACGUGGAUUAGCCAAACAUCGGAUUCUUUUUCUUGUGAGCACUGAUUGCCUGAAGUAAACAUUGGCGUAUCUGAAACUCUAGGAACACAGUGCUCUUAAUUUGAAGGUUCAACGCAAACAUCCGCUGUCAACACGGAAGUAUGUUUUUUUUUCUACGUAGUGAGUAAUGAAGUGAAAAAGCCAAGACGACGUGAGCCCUGGAGAGACAUCUUUUAUUCCAUGUGUCAUAUACUUGAGGAAACAAUAGACAAAGCAACGACGUGGUCACCUUUUACUGAAUGAACGUGAUGGAGGUCAGUUAGACGCAGAGGUGCCAGCAUGGUGGAAAGACAUUUUGCAGCUCUGGGGAUCCUGCCAUUCGACAGCGAAGGACAGGCGAGAAGUAGGAUGGGACAUGCUGAUGGCGAAGAGCUUGUCUUUGUGUGUUUUGAGUGACAGGGAAGGUAAAGGACAGCCGACGGGAGAGGGACGUGUAGGCGAAUGAGACUUCCAACAAGGCACUAGCAUCAUACCAAAGCAAACCCAACACUCCAAUAAAAUAAUCCGGGCUCUCUUUAGCUUAACAUGUUUAUUAUCAUACAUAAAAUUCACAUUUGACCUGGCCUGGUUGCGUCUUGCCCCUUCCUACCUACACUGAGUGCAAAUCAAACUACAACUCUUCAUAAAUAAAUCCUCAGAAUGGAGUCCACUGGAACUGUACAAUGGAAUGGACUUGCAGCGGGCAAAGGACACGUUUCGACUGGGGACCUCCAGGAUGUGCAUGUGGGAAUGAUUCAAAGCAACACGCCGUCCCAUGUGUGAGUUUGUCUUAUGAAACAACACCAACACACCACCAGGCACUAUUUUGUCAGGGCCGCGAGAAGCUGCGAACAGAACCACCCAACCACUAGGCGGCGCUCUCGUGCACGUCAACGCUUCGCCUCAAGAGGGCAGAGGAGGGAAGAGUCAUGGCUUGGCCGAUAUUUGAGGAGGAAUGAGUUUGUGUACUUGCAUGCUCACGGCUUCAGUGAUCUGUGAGGCGACGGGAGGAAGCUGCAGACGAGUUACCGUGGUGGGCGGGGCUAGCUAAACGUAGAACGUAGCCGCCCAGGCUGAUUAGUCGGGGUGUCCAAAGCUCUGAUAGGCAUGGCUUUCCAUGGCUUCCAUCUACAAAACAUAUUUACAACAUAGAUAACAUCUACAAGAAAUCUACACUUAUUUUUCUGUUUUUUUUGUUUGUUUUUUUUUACAAAAUCUCCCCUCCCCCCAUCCUCCUCUCCAAACAACUCUUCCUUUCCUCCCCCACUCCACGCCAAAGCGGUCCGUGUUAAGACGGUGCAACUGCUUUCUGUCUGGCCUCCAGCUAUGUGCAAUGGGCCCCCCCAUUCCAGCUUCUACUUGCAACAAGAAGUUCUCAGACCAUGAAGGAAUUCUGGUUCUUCAACUUUUCAAGUUCUUUGAUUUGUUGUCUGAGGAAGAGUAUCCUGCGGGAAAGGAGUGCAGAGGCAGACGUGAGUGGUGUUUUCCACGACGACGGAUGUUGUUCAUUGAGCACGCUCACCUCUGCUCUCGCAAUGUGGCUUGGAUUUCAGACACUCGGACCAAGGAACGAAGGUUUUUCAGCUCGGUGCAGUUCUCUGACAUGCAAAUGCUGCCCAUCGUGUGAGCCUCUUCACGUAACCUUGAUGCCUGGGGAUAAAAUGCUCUUCAUUAAUCAGGAUUUAAAGAACAUAUACUAUGUUUACUUUUCGGGUGAGCAAAUCAAGCGCUCUCUCCACCUGCCUGUGAUGUCCCUUGAGCUCACUUGGAAACAAGGUUUCCGUGGAAGACAUUUUGCGUGCUAGUUGUACCAAAAGCUUUGCAAUGAAAACACUGCUGUGUUUGACAAGCGCCAAAGGUUUGCCAGAGACCUCCGUGGAAUCACUCUGCCUGCUCGGAGCAUGUGCCUGAAUAGAGGUCACCUUGCUGGGCCACAGCGGGUGGCUCCCAGCACUCUGUACGAGUAGUCAUGUCAUGGUGUUUCAUUAGUUCUUAUCAGGGUACACUUUGUCACAUCCUAACUUGUUCCAGUUCUUCAACUACACUUAAAAUAGCUAUGAAAAAGUUGCCUCUUGGUCGUAUAUCAGUCUUAAGAAGCAGAAAGUUAUCGGUAUGUGUUUUGUGUUUGAAUAUAUAAUAUUUCUACUUGAGCAGUUGGUCCUUACCUGUUUCUCUGCGUGCUCAGCAGGCCACCCUUGGACAUGUUUAAUAAGAUUCUCAUUGAAGUGGGCGGCAAGGGCGGGGGUGAAGGAGCAAGACGGCCGGGUUGCCAAGGAAGUGGGUGGAGCCGACGAUACAGCGGGGGCGUUGCUGCUGCCGCUGCCAGGUGGGACGUGGUUGGAUCCCGGAGAGGGACUCCUCUGACUGCUGCUGCUAACACCAAGUCCAAGUCAGUAUACUUCCCAUGAUGCAACCACAACAGGGUAGCGUGACGACAACAAUUUGAUGACAAGCAUGGAAUCCAAAAUGGAAAUGAUUGUCUCUGUCCUGGCUCCUGAGGUCAACAAGUGGACAAUAAAAGAAUACACACUGCAAGAAGAGUGGAUCCAUCCAUGACGUUGGGCAUGCCUUUGCAUUGGAAAUGAGAGUAAAGUGUACCCUGCUACCUUUCCAGCCAUUCUUUGGGCUUCUCCCACUGGGACACCUCGGUUCGACAGUUGUAGUAAUAUUUCUUCCCGGAUGAGCUGAUGUGCUCCGACCAGUCGUCACCUGGUUCAUGAGGCUGAGAGAAACAGAAAGGCUUUUCUUCAGGGUCUGAUGCAAGAGGAUGCAAUGUCAUUUGUAUUGCUGCCUGCUUUCAACGCAACGGCUAAAAAGAUGGAGCCAAUAUUGAGCAAUAAAGCGGUGCACCCUUCUCACAAAUGGCAGCUUUCCUCCUGACAAUAAUGAUUACUCUCAGAAAGCGUUGGUUAGUCAUUCCCAGCAUCAACUAGUCAACACAGGGCGGCAGUAGGACAUAAACACGCUCAGCAGGAGACAGAAAAACAAUUCAAGCUAUAUUCGGUGGGCAACACUUACUGUGUCUGAGGUUUUGUUGGGGUUAGAAUGCGAGUUGGAGCUAUGCAGGGCGCUGUGGUUGUGAGAGUUUUCAUGUGGGGAAUUACUGGUCCCUGCAACACAGGACGGAAGAGACGUUCAUCACAAGCAACAAUUAUGGCUCCGAACUCUGCCGAAAAACAUUCGUUUCCUCCACUUUGCAAGCGUUUCUUACCUUUCAGAGCCGGUUGUCUCAUCAUUGAAGUGUGUGUAGCUUUUCAUUGCCAGCUUUUGAUAAAUCAAGCUGGAUGGUGUAUUGUAUGUACUCUCCUGUCACUUCCUAUCCACUUGGACAAAGUUUGCUGUGUGGCUGUAAUGCCAAACACAGCCUCACUGUGAUACAACGCAGACAUUUGCAUUUGGCAGCUACUGAAAUGGAACGAGGAAAAUCCUAUAAACAUCUUCAGAUGCUUACAAGUGGAGACAACUGGUCCUCCCCCUCCUGUACUUUAGUCGACUUGCAGACGAGCAACUAGACAAAACAUAAUAUAAACCAUUGAUUCUCAGCUGGUGGGCCUUUGUUUGGGCAAAAAACACAGCUGCAGAUAUCUGCUGGAGAAGAGCUUGCAAAAACGACAGAGGGUUAACCAUCGGUCACCAAGCAGGAUGUGGACAGUGGGGUUCGGUCUCAGGCAGAAAGCAACAACUUGAGCGCGUUUAGAAAAAUCAGCUUUACCGAGUCCUUUUGUUCUUGUUUAUGAACAUCAUCGCACAUUGCAUUUAGUCAUUUCUUCAUUUUUAAAGAGGUGCAAGUUGUUUUCUACUUUUCAUAAGGAAAUAUGCUAAUUUAACCGUUCAGUAAAACAAUGGAGCAGUGUUACUGAAGUUACUGAAGCACCAUGUAAUGACGCAACACGUGUGUGCGCGGCGGCCAUCAGCCAUCAUCAUGAUGCAAUGUGCAAAUGAGAUUAGAUUGGAAAAGCAACAAAGCGUUGAUAGAAAGAGGUUGAGGUGUUUGUGGGCAACACGGUGUUGCAUGGUGUUUUGACUCUGUUGUUGUUGGUCAGCAUAGAUAGGUGGAAAGUAAAUGCAAGGAUGAAUGUCAUCAGUAGUCAUCCACCUCCUAGCAGAGAUCUCUGCUGACGUGGGCUGACUCACCAAACAGAAGAAAAUGCAUGAAAGCAAUUAGUAUGCAAAAUGACUAACAGUGAUAACUGUGCCGGCCGCGCUUUUAUCAGCACUCUCAACUCUACAAUUUCCCAGGAAAUGUAAUCCUUCUACCUGCAACCACGAUACCAGCUGAGCUUUUCAUCCAUCACUGAUUAUGGGCAUGGAUCAAACGACACCUCAAAGCAUUUGCUCAGUAUGUCACGAAGUGGCUGACGGGUUGAACAGCAAUGACUGUCUACUGUUGGUGUACAAAUGUCACGUCAAAGCCACCGUACAGCAGUGGGGAAUCAUAGCGACACCUCUCCACACACCUGAACAGCCAUAAAAGACAACAAUGCUUUGCUAAUUGGCAUAAGAGAUGGAUGUUGGCUUACGCGUUUGUUUCCAGCAGCCAUCACCUAACAACAAUUUUGUGUUUGCAUUUUCCUACUAA